CCGCCGCCGUCGCAUUCCAGCGGGACUAUUUCCCGCGUUGUUUCGCACGCACGCCUCCGCCGCCUUUUUGGGUGCGAUGCGGUUGUCGGAGCAACACCGGCCCGGGAGGGACGGGACUACUUUCAGUCACAGAGCGGUGGCGGCUGCACAAAGGCGGCCGCUCCCCUUCGCCCGCAGGUGAGGGCUGCCCGGCCGCGCUCCCCCUCCGUCCCUUUCGGCCGCUGCACGGCGGCGGUUCCCGAGUGAAGGGCGGGCUGCGGCGCCACAGCCUUUCCACGGGAGUUUCUGCGGAGCUGCCCCGUGGGCAAAGCUACUUCAGUAUUUCUGCGAGGAACGUCACAUCUCACGGGGCAUCCCUCCUCUCCUCCCGCAACGUGACAGCUGUUCCGAGGGACGAGGCUGCGAGGCAGAGCGACUUAAAGCAAAAUUUGAGAUCCUCGCGUGCAGAAGUCUGUAUUACUUUCAGGGUUAUUAGAAACUUAUGGAAACAUUUAACUUUUAAUUUCGUAUCUGUUGAACAUAUAUUUUCAUAGCUUUUCUUGUGAUUACAGUAGGAGAUAACAUCUGGGCCAGAUUAAAGGCCCAGGCAUUGCAGACCGGCUCUGACAUCAGACUCCAGCAGUCAUGUGAUGAUAUCAGACUUUCAGAUUCUACUGGGGAGAAACCGCAAGUCAAAACUUUGUAGAGAAAGAAGUAUACCUCCAACUUUAAAAGUUGUUUAAGAAAGGGGGGGGGGGGGGGGGAGGGAAUCUUGAAAAAGUAAACAACUCAACAGCAAGAGCUGCCUGAGGGCAGGUCUGCAUUCAAAUAUGUCUUUGACUCCACCGGGUGGAACAACCUCCUCUGUUGUUGCCAUGUCAGCUAGGAGGAUAAGCAAACUCAAGCAAGAUCCACAGUGGUGGUGGAGGGGAAGGGCUUCCCAUGAGAAAACGUACCAGAGAGUGGAUAAACCUUAGCAUACCCUUGCUGUCACAACUGGAUUUUGUGGGAACAGACAGAAGCAGCGCAGCGUUCUAUUUAUUUUCACUGAGCAAUUGGAAUCAAAGAAAACAGUAACUCACAACGUUGUAUGAUCAGUGAUUAACCUCUUGUGAAGUAUUGCAAGUCCAUAAUGAAUUCUUCCUAUCUUAAUAACACGAUGCACAGCUGAGAGAAAACUCAAGCCUGAACCCUCGAAUGUCACAUUUCUCUAUGUGCUGUUCCCUCUUGCAUCUUGUGUUCUUUUUUCUUUUGCUGGAAACACAAUGGUGUCUUGACUAUCUCCCUCGGAAGCCAGAUCCCCUGCCUGUUGGCUCUCGCAUCUUCCGCACCAUCCCAUCUGACUGGCUUUAUUUUUAGCUUACAAACAUUACAUGCUGUCACCCGUCACGAAUUUGACCAUUUUUCUAUACUUCAAGACCUUUCCUUUCCUGAUUGGAUUUCCUCUAAGUCACUGAGUGAUUAGUGACUUCACUUAUGUAUCCCCUUUUCUCCAUCUGCUUCUUAGAGACAGUCCUCUCCCUACUCAAGCCUACGUAGCCUUUUUAAAAACAGUUUUCCAUUCAAUGCUUAGGAUUCAGGACCAAACCCAUGUUGUAUCUGUUUCUCAGCUUUAUUUCUAAUUCAUACAGACAGCAGGGACUCAGCUGUAGAGGUUUUUACGAAGUAAACCAGAUUACCUCACACAGAAAAGAUUCUGACAGCCAGGGCUCCUCUGAAAUACUUACAUUCUUUCAUUUGAUCUUAAAGUUAAGGUGAAGGAAAUAGGAAUGCAGAGGGAACGUUUCUUCUAUUGCAGUAGGAAGCUCCUCAUGUUGGUUACAAUUAUUUUUAUUAAUCUUAUGAGUGGAAGUAUUCAUUUGCUCGUUCAAAUCCAGUCAGAGACUUUGGCCGUCAAGAAAUCUGUACAAUCUUAUUCUUACCUCUGGACUCGGAUGGUGAUUCGAUGAUACAGGAGCUUUCACAAGAAUUUCAUUAUACUCAGAAGAUGCUGCCUGGUGUCCAGGAUGAGAACUGCAUUUCUUUGUGGCUGAAAAAAUCCUUACAACAAAAACUUCACAGAGAAGGUCCUGGAGUUCAGCAGAGCAUAGGGGAGAGUUUGGACUCCUGCUGAUGGUGUAUCCAAGAUCAGGCUGUUUAUCUACUGCUUCUUUUCUCCUCUUCCAUCUCCCAGGGAGUUGAAAACAACACUGCCUCAGGAUAUGCUUCUUCAGCUGUAGUACUUUCAGCGUGAACUGUAUAGGAUUCUGAUUUUAAUUUGGCACUGCCCACCAGGCCACAGGGCAAGUCCAGUACUUUCCUUAUGAAAGCCACAUAGCCGUGGCUGUAUUUCAAAGCUAAAUUAUAAAAAGUCAUUUUAGAAAGUUUGAGUGCUAAAAUUUGUAAAGACCUGUAAUGCUAGGUUGAUACAGCUAAAACAUCCUUUCAAAAGAGAUUGCGUUUCAGACUGACAGAUACCAAAACACUAUUUUAUUUUAGUUUGCAAAGAUUUUCAAAAACAGACAGCAUCUGGGUUCUAUUAACAACAACAUGCAUGCAUUUUAAACAACAACAAUUUAAGAAUACUUCACUUUCAGAACACUUUCAUGGAGCUCAGCAUUUUGCCGUAUGCAUUCAUAGGAUUUACCAAUUAUGCUUUGCCUUUGAAGUUUAAAAAUUAGUUACUGGUAAAGGAUUGUACAUUUGUUCACACUAUUUUAGUCAUAGGGAUAAAUUACUAGAAUGUAUGCCUUAUUAUGGUCAAGAAAGGUAAGUUACAGUAAUUAGCAAUUGUUCAUACAACACUUCAGUCUUUGUGUAAUAUACACAUUGUGACAUACCAUCUGUGCACAGGAAAGAGCUCAUUUGCAAUUUGAAGUAGCUUCCUCUGAGCUAAAGUGCAGUAACAAGGAUGCACAUGGGAAAGCUGCAGUUCGUGAUAGCAAAAGAGAAUCGCCCUUCUGCAGAUCAAACUCUGGGGAGAAGAUUUAUGAUUAUGUUUAUUUACGUCUAUAUUUUUCUAGAUUUAUAUUUAUUUAGCCUGCAAUUCAGUCAAGACACCUAGCACCUCAAGAAAAUGGUUAUGUAUCCUUAACUGUGAUAACACUUCAGGGGGGUUGUUUUUAUUAGCUGUUAAAGAAGUUCUCAAACUGUUCCAGAAAAGCAGGAUGAGUGACUUGCACGCUUCCUUAGAGCAGAGAAGAGUGCCCUCUGAUGGCUAACCUUUUAGGUUUAAUAUCUACGAUGUUCAUGUCAACCUCCAUUUAUUAAAUUCAAAAAGCAAAAUCACAAAAAUGCAAGAUGCUGCAGCGUGUCAUUAUUUCAAGAAAAAGAAAUUAUCUGGAUUUAUUUAUAGAUAACAGUUAAAAAGAGGGGUGGAGGUAUAUUCUUAAUUUUUUCAUUAAAUUAAUAUUAGCCAGUUUUUCUAAGAGCAAAAUUAAUGCAUUUGAUAGUUCAGAACUGUUACCUGUAUGUACUCUCUUAUCUAAGUUUUAUUUUACUGCGAUAAACUUGCUUUAAGGCUUGGAACAGUAGCAUGCAGAACGUGUA
rnacentral:lncRNA from 1 species